rnacentral:rRNA from 1 species
GCGAAAGUUACGCUAAUACCGCAUACGAUCUAAGGAUGAAAGCGGGGGAUCGCAAGACCUCGCGCGAUUGGAGCGGCCGAUAUCAGAUUAGGUAGUUGGUGAGGUAAAGGCUCACCAAGCCAACGAUCUGUAGCUGGUCUGAGAGGACGACCCAGCCACACUGGAACUGAGACACGGUCCAGACUCCUACGGGAGGCAGCAGUGGGGAAUUUUGGACAAUGGACGCAAGUCUGAUCCAGCCAUUCCGCGUGCAGGAUGAAGGCCCUCGGGUUGUAAACUGCUUUGUACGGAACGAAAAGGUUUGUCUUAAUACGAUGAGCUCAUGACGGUACCGUAAGAAUAAGCACCGGCUAACUACGUG